AUGUGCUUUUAUUUUCCUUCAAUCCAGAUGGUGAUGUGUGUCAUUGUCUAUUUCAGGAAAGAUGUUUUUACUGACUUCACAACAGUUUGGAGAUGUAAUGGAGUCACAGGACUACUACCCAUACCAGCCAUUACCAGCCAACUCCAAAACAACACAUGCAUGUUUGAGGAAACACACACUUUGGAGAAAGUGAUGAGCUCUGCAAGUUCAGGAGAAAGCAGCCCUUCUUGGCUGAAAAAAACUUUCUUUUUCUUCUUUUGUUUCCACAGAUGGAAACAGAGACUUAAGACUUAGUUCACUCAGAAAUGAAAAAUCUGUGGUUUACUCUCCCUCGUGUCGUUCCAAACCCAUAAGACUUUGACCGUGUCUACACCGGACACACCUGACCUUCAUGACCUUUCAGGAUCCUCUAACUGCUGGUUACAUGGACUGUCACCGGAGGAAGGAAAGCUUUCAGGUUUCAUUAUGAAAUAUCUUCAUUUGUGUUUUGAAGAUAACCAAAGUCUGAUGGAUUUGAUCUACACGAGGGUGAGUAAAUGACAAUUAUGAGGAUGAUUUCCUUGAAAGAUGAAGCUACAGAUGAUGUUUUUCUAGAGAACUGAUGUUUUAAAAAAAGCACCAAAUAUCAGAAUUGUUGUAAAAUGUAUUGAAAUCUUUAAGAAGUUUACAAUGUUGACCUUGCAUUCUAAUGUAUUUAUCAAAUUUGUCCAAAUGUGAGAAGCUGCCCUUCUUUUCUAAACUUUAAUGCAAGUUCAUCUGGAAUGUGGCUGUUUUUCAGUGGCACAUGGAUAUCAGAUUUCUUGGAUGAACGUUCUGUUCUGGAAAGUUAUGCUUUUACGUUUUAAAGCAGUUUUCACUAUUAACUGUUGUAAAUUCUUCCUCAUAUUCCAAAAGUGGAAAUUAUGUCAAUGUGAUUUCAGAUUUCAAUGUGAUGUAAUAAACAUUUUAAAAUGUUUGACUCUCA
ensembl:lncRNA